CCUACGGGAGGCAGCAGUGGGGAAUAUUGGACAAUGGGCGGAAGCCUGAUCCAGCCAUGCCGCGUGUGUGAAGAAGGCCUUUUGGUUGUAAAGCACUUUAAGCGAGGAGGAGGCUACUAGUAUUAAUACUACUGGAUAGUGGACGUUACUCGCAGAAUAAGCACCGGCUGACUCUGUGCCAGCAGCCGCGGUAAUACAGAGGGUGCGAGCGUUAAUCGGAUUUACUGGGCGUAAAGCGUGCGUAGGCGGCUGAUUAAGUCGGAUGUGAAAUCCCUGAGCUUAACUUAGGAAUUGCAUUCGAUACUGGUCAGCUAGAGUAUGGGAGAGGAUGGUAGAAUUCCAGGUGUAGCGGUGAAAUGCGUAGAGAUCUGGAGGAAUACCGAUGGCGAAGGCAGCCAUCUGGCCUAAUACUGACGCUGAGGUACGAAAGCAUGGGGAGCAAACAGGAUUAGAUACCCUGGUAGUCCAUGCCGUAAACGAUGUCUACUAGCCGUUGGGGUCUUUGAGACUUUAGUGGCGCAGCUAACGCGAUAAGUAGACCGCCUGGGGAGUACGGUCGCAAGACUAAAACUCAAAUUGAAAUUGACGG
rnacentral:rRNA from 1 species